UUUUUUUAUUUUUGUUUUUCAGAGUUACAUACAUGGAAGCAGUCAGGCUCAAUUUGUUGCAGAAUCACACAUCAUUCUUCUACUGAAUGCUGCUAUUACCAUGGGAAUGGUACUCCUGAAUGAAGCUGCUACCUCCAAAGGGGAUGUCGGGAAGAGGAGAAUAAUAUGCCUGGUAGGCCUGGGUCUGGUGGUCUUUUUCUUCAGCUUCCUGUUGUCCAUAUUCCGCUCCAAAUACCAUGGCUACCCAUACAGGUAAUUUCUCAUUAAAUUCUUAUCUUAUAU